GGGACAAUCUGCUAAAUACAAAUAAAACAAAAAAACAUAGCGUAUAACCGUGUGGAGACUGGUAUUGAUGUGCGAUCACAAAUGGUCACUCACAAUUUUGAAGGUUAUCUUAAAGAGGGAUUAAUCCCUAGAGGAUUAAGAGUGGAAAAAAUUCCAGCAUGUGGUGUAGAUAAUGAAGAAUUCCUAAAAAAAUGGGAUUCAAUUCUAGACACAUGUUGGCAAAACCUUAUGAAAUUAAUAAUUGAAUUUGAAAAACAAGAAAGAGAACAAAUAGAGAUAGACA